AUACGGAGGGAGCAAGCGUUAUUCGGAAUCACUGGGCGUAAAGGACGCGUAGGCGGGUUUGUAAGUCAGGUGUGAAAUCCUACAGCUCAACUGUAGAACUGCACUUGAAACUACAGACCUAGAGUAUGGAAGGGGCAGAUGGAAUUAGUGGUGUAGGGGUAAAAUCCGUAGAUAUCACUAGGAAUACCGAAAGCGAAGGCGAUCUGCUGGGACAUUACUGACGCUGAGGCGUGAAAGCGUGGGGAGCAAACAGGAUUAGAUACCCUUGUAGUCC
rnacentral:rRNA from 1 species